rnacentral:rRNA from 1 species
UACGGAGGGUGCGAGCGUUGUCCGGAAUCACUGGGCGUAAAGGGCGCGUAGGUGGCGCGGGCAGUCAACGGUGAAAGUUCGGGGCUCAACCCUGAAUCGGCCGUCGAUACUCCCGAGCUGGAGCACUGUAGAGGCUCAUGGAAUCCGGGUGUAGCGGUGGAAUGCGUAGAGAUCCGGAAGAACACCGGGUGGCGAAGGCAGCUCGCUGGGGACGUUAC